rnacentral:lncRNA from 1 species
UUCGAUGGACAAUAAUUUAAAGUGGAGUAUGUAAAGAGCUGAGAUCAGCACUACAACAUAUUCGUUGCAACAAUUGCUACAGAUGCAUCUGAAGGCGAAUUGUUCAGUUGAAAAAAAAAGAGUAUGAUAGGUAGUCUGCAUGUAACGAGAGGGUAUAUAUUCGAUUGACAUGAAUCGAACGAAAAAAAAGCGAGAACCGAUUAACACCGAUUGAAUGGACAAAUAAAUAAAACAAGCUGUCAGCUCCACCACGUACGUGCUGGAAGAGUCGACCAUGGGGUCAUGGUGGGCAUUUUGGUUAUCUGUAAAUAAUUGGAUAAUCUGAGAAUGUACGUAGUAAAUUUUUGUAGUCUUAACUAGAGGAAAUAAAGUGUAAAAAUAUUUGGUUGGAAUUCCAUUUUCUCGUCCCGACACUUGAAACAAUCACCUUUAUUUUAAAAAUUUCCUAAUUAAAAAUAUGGUAAUAAUAAAAAAAUCCAUUUGUAUUAGAUGAAAAUAUACACAAAACAUAUAUUGGUAAAAAUGUUGGUUUAUUUUAAGCACAUGACUACAAAUCCAAAUAUGCAUGUUAGUAUCAAAACAUAAAUGUUUUAAAACGUAUAUAGUUUAUAAAAGACAUACAAUGUUUUACUUGAUAGGAAAAAAUCAUUUUGUUUUAACGGACGGAAUCUAUAUUGGCGCAAUAAUUCCUGAGAAUUUUCCUCAAUUUUAGUUUCUUUUUUCUCACACCUUGUGUCCACGUUCACCUUCAUUAAUUUUCAAAAACUUGGUCUUUUAAGUUAACUCAUUACGUCUAUUCUCUGAGUGAACGAGUUUUUUAAAAGUUUUUUUCAAUAAGGUUUCUACUAAACACCAAAACAUUUAUAAAAGAAGCGCGACAAGGUUUUCGCGUUUUGUAAUAGAUGGCCAUUUGUUUUCAUUCAGCGUGAUCACCCAUGUUGAUCAAUUUUGAAAAUCUUGGUUUUAUGAUUUGGUUUUUUGCAUCUACUUUGCGAGUAUAUUAGGUUAUAUGAUCUUAUUUUCAGCAACUUCUCCGCAAAACACAAUAAUAUAAGAGAUUUCUCGUGGUAAAAAGAUACUCAAGCACCUACUAAAACCAAUAGUAAAUCGUUUGUGGUUCCUUUUGUCAAAAUCAACUUUUCCAAACUCGAUUUUGCCAAAAGGAACCACAACCAAAAUCCCUUAGGCUUAUGGCUGUUUACUCUAGGGCUUAUUUUUCGAGCAAAACUGUGGUUCCCUUUUGCAUAAAUCCGUGCAUUUAAUAUUAAGCCCGAAAAAACAGGUUGAAGUUAAGAGUGAGGAACCAUUUGUUUCAUGUAACACACCAGAUUGGUGACGCCGCAUGACUCAUAAAAUUGAUGCUACAACAAGUACAGAAAUUACUGGAGUUGUGAUUGGAGGUACGAGGAUAUUGUUAAAUUGUUCAGCUAACUUGAGUUAUUUAAACACUCUUUUAAUAUUGUUUGUAAGGGAGGUGUGACAUCACAGGUCUUAUGUGGUGCAUGAAAGCAAAGGUUGCUCAUACAAAACUUUAACAUCAUUUUUUCGUUAAAUAUACAAUAGAAUCAAUUCUUGAUAGACUUUGCAUAAUGUCAAUGGAAAUGGAAUAAAGAUGUAACUGGAAUAUUAAAAGUUCUUCAAACGUAUGUAGAAAAAGUUUAAAUAAGAAUACGUAUUUACCACUCAUUGGAUCCGAAAUGAUUGAUACGUCAUCAUAAUUAUUAAUCAUUGAAAGUUCUUCUUUGUCACUGUCAGAGCUCACUUUUAAUCAUUGAAAGUUCUUCUUUGUCACUGUCAGAGCUCACUUUUCAUCAUCCGACAAGCUAUGUAAUAUUUCCUCAUUGUCUGAUAACGCUUGUUCUUCUAAUUUUAUUCGACGACGGGGUGGUGAUAACUCCUUAUCUAAAAAGAAAACAACAAAUAUUAAAAUUAGAUAUUGAAGUAUUUUCACAUUUAAUUGUGGUGAAAUGAAACAUCGAUUUUUAUUUUGAAUUUUUAUCCGAAAGCACUAACUCAGAGAAUGAGAAAAAUAAUAGGUUGUGUCCGUUGAACAUGCAAUCUUCAUUUACAAAAAAUUGUCUGUAAAGUUUCAAUUAUUUUAAGUCGGUGAGUUUUAAGAGUAGUGUUUUCAGUUUUUCUUGAAUAUUUUAAGCUUCAGUUGUACAGUGAUUAACUUUUUUUUAGAAUUCUUGCUUUGCCUUGUAUAAUGUAAAAAAUAUUUUAAGGAAGUUUGCGUUGAGAAAAUGGGUAAAUAAAAGGCACAGAAUUUAUACGAUUACCGUCUAUGAAUUCUAGUAAAGAAAUAGGGAUUGAUAUAAAUUACCUUUGAAUAAUGCUGAACGAACAGUGCUGAUUUCUUGUUAUCUCUUGACAAGCUCCUGAAAAGAAGAAAAUGUAUUUAGUACUGUAAGAAAUUGUGUUUUGUUUUACCUAUGAUGUAUGCAAAAAUAGUUCCUUUAGAAAACACAAAAUGAUUAUAAAAGUAAACUUCAUAUAAUAAAUUUUUUUUUAUCACACGACACGGUACCUGGAGUGUUUGUACAGAUGAAGAGCUAAAUCUUGGCUUCUCGAAAGCUCCGGGACUCCUACUUGUGUAGGAUGAAACUUUGAACAUUUCUCCAUUGAAAAAUGAGGAAAAAGCAAAUAUUUGGCGCUACUUUGAGGUUGUUUAGGUACAGUUUCAUUUAUAUUUUCUACACCAC